AAUUGGAGGGCAAGUCUGGUGCCAGCAGCCGCGGUAAUUCCAGCUCCAAUAGCGUAUAUUAAAGUUGUUGCAGUUAAAAAGCUCGUAGUUGAAUUUCGGGAUCAAUAUUUCGGUCAUGCCGUUGGUAUGCACUGUUAUCAUUGAUUUCUCACCUUCUAAAGAACCGUAAUGCCAUUAAUUUGGUGUUACGGGGAAUUAGGACUGUUACCUUGAAAAAAUUAGAGUGUUUAAAGCAGGCUCACGCUUGAAUACAUUAGCAUGGAAUAAUGAAAUAGGACAUCCGAUUCUAUUUUGUUGGUUUCUAGGAUCGAUGUAAUGAUUAAUAGGGAUAGUUGGGGGCAUUAGUAUUCAAUUGUCAGAGGUGAAAUUCUUGGAUUUAUUGAAGACUAACUACUGCGAAAGCAUUUGCCAAGGAUGUUUUCAUUAAUCAAGAACGAAAGUUAGGGGAUCGAAGACGAUCAGAUACCGUCGUAGUCUUAACCAUAAACUAUGCCGACUAGGGAUCGGAUGAUGUUAAUUUUUUAAUGACUCAUUCGGCACCUUACGGGAAACCAAAGUGU
rnacentral:rRNA from 1 species